UCAAGCCAUAUAGUAACUCAUUGCAAAGCCAAUGUUUUCAGCAUCAAAUUUAUGUGGAAGUUUCAACACGCGCCAUGGAAUUGGUCAGUUUACGUACUCACGAACAAGUGCCUAAUAUAUUUCUAACCGCCACUUCUAACCACAUACAGUAGCAAAGGCGGGAAAAACUACUCCUUAAUGUUUUGGUCUCUCAUAAAUCCAAAUUCGUGCAGCCAUGAGUCCUGGAAUUUUCAGGAGAUGAUCCAGCUCCCUUAUUCUUUUCACUUAGGUUUUUAGGUUCAUACACAAACGCCCAGGAAGAAGUGAACACUUUAUCAAAGUUUUGUGUUUAAUGUCAAUAGGCUCAGAUCCUCGGCGCCAGUCACAACUAAGCUACUAAAGGCUGCUACCCACUCGGGGGUUUACUCCUUGCUCUCUGCAUCUGUACAUCUCCCCCAAAAUACUUUAUUUGGCCACGAAAGACUGCAUUGCUUGACAUUUCAGUUCCAUAAAUGUCGUUCACGGAAAACUAUGGGAUGUCGGAUAACAAAGAUUGGUAUGAAGUAUCUCAGGAGAAAGAUUGAUAAAUAAAUGAAGUAAGAGAUACAAAAGAGAGCAGUGUAUUUGGUCAAUAAGCACUACCAGUGUUUUGGUUCACAUAGAAUGGUAGUAGAGACAUAACUAAGAUGGUAAACAAACAAAUAAGCUAAGUGAUGAGGAUGUUUUACAGUA